rnacentral:rRNA from 1 species
GACGAACGCUGGCGGCGUGCUUAACACAUGCAAGUCGAACGGUGAAACGCCUUCCUUUUUGGUCGGUGUUGAUGAGUGGCGGACGGGGUAGUAACACGUUAGUAACCUUCUCCCUUCUUCUUGAUAACCGCAUGAAAGUGCUGCUAAUACGUGAUAUUCUGGGUCUCUCGCAUCAUUGGUCUGGGACAGUUUUUGUUUCAGUGAUGGAUGGGCUCGCGGCCUAUCAGCUUGUUGGUGAGGUGAUGGCCUACCAAGGCGGCGAUGAGUAGCCGACCUGAGAGGAGGGUCGACGGCCCUACAGGGAAUGCGACGCGGCGAAGACUACGAGGGGCGGCAGCAGUGGGGCAUACGGAACGGUGGGAGGAAGGCUGAUGCAGCGCCGCGUGGGGAGGGAUGGAGGCCGUAGGGUUGUGAACCUCUUUCGGGAGUGAAGCAGGGUGGCCGUGUUUGUGGGUGGGUUGACGGUAGCUGGAUAGGAAGCGACGGCUAACUACGUG